UGUUCUGUGGCGGAGUUGGUUAACGCGCCCUGUCUAGCGAACUUGGGCAGACGUGGGUUCAAAUCCUACCAGAACUA
rfam:Aedes albopictus isolate Foshan contig136677, whole genome shotgun sequence.